UACGUAGGUGGCAAGCGUUGUCCGGAUUUAUUGGGUUUAAAGGGUGCGUAGGCGGCUUUGUAAGUCAGUGGUGAAAUAUGGCAGCUUAACUGUCAGGGUGCCAUUGAUACUGCAGAGCUUGAGUACAGAUGAGGUAGGCGGAAUUGACGGUGUAGCGGUGAAAUGCUUAGAUAUCGUCAAGAACACCUAUAGCGAAGGCAGCUUACUAGGCUGUAACUGACGCUGAGGCACGAAAAGUGUGGGGAUCAAACAGG
rnacentral:rRNA from 1 species